rnacentral:rRNA from 1 species
ACGGAAAGGCCUCUUCGGAGGUACUCGAGUGGCGAACGGGUGAGUAACACGUGGGUGAUCUGCCCUGCACUCUGCGGAUAAGCCUGGGAAACUGGGUCUAAUACCGGAUAGGACCAUGCUUUAGUGUGUGUGGUGGAAAGUUUUUUCGGUGUAGGAUGAGCCCGCGGCCUAUCAGCUUCUUGGUGGGGUAAUGGCCUACCAAGGCGGCGACGGGUAGCCGGACUGAGAGGUUGGUCGGCCACAUUGGGACUGAGAUACGGCCCAGACUCCUACGGGAGGCAGCAGUGGGGAAUAUUGCACAAUGGGCGCAAGCCUGAUGCAGCGACGCCGCGUGGGGGAUUACGGCCUUCGGGUUGUAAACUCCUUUCGCCAGGGACGAAGCGUUUUGUGACGGUACCUGGAGAAGAAGCACCGGCUAACUACGUGCCAGCAGCCGCGGUAAUACGUAGGGUGCAAGCGUUGUCCGGAAUUACUGGGCGUAAAGAGCUCGUAGGUGGUUUGUCACGUCGUCUGUGAAAUUCCACAGCUUAACUGUGGGCGUGCAGGCGAUACGGGCUGACUUGGGUACUGUAGGGGUAACUGGAAUUCCUGGUGUAGCGGUGAAAUGCGCAGAUAUCAGGAGGAACACCGAUGGCGAAGGCAGGUUACUGGG